GGGAUUGCCUUACCAACGGCGAGUGAAGCGGCAACAGCUCAAAUUUGAAAUCUGGCUCUCUUAGGGCCCGAGUUGUAAUUUGCAGAGGGCGCUUUGGUGUUGGCAGCGGUCCAAGUUCCUUGGAACAGGACGUCACAGAGGGUGAGAAUCCCGUACGUGGUCGCUAGCCUUUGCCGUGUAAAGCCCCUUCGACGAGUCGAGUUGUUUGGGAAUGCAGCUCUAAAUGGGAGGUAAAUUUCUUCUAAAGCUAAAUACUGGCCAGAGACCGAUAGCGCACAAGUAGAGUGAUCGAAAGAUGAAAAGCACUUUGGAAAGAGAGUCAAAUAGCACGUGAAAUUGUUGAAAGGGAAGCGCUUGCAGCCAGACUUGCCUGUAGUUGUUUAUCUAGACUUUUAUCUAGUGCACUCUUCUGCAGGCAGGCCAGCAUCAGUCUAGGCGGUUGGAUAAAGGUCUCUAUCACGUACCUCUCUCUGGGGAGGCCUUAUAGGGGAGACGUCAUGCAACCAGCCUGGACUGAGGUCUGCGCAUCUGCUAGGAUGCUGGCGUAAUGGCUGUAAGCGGCCCGUCUUGAAACACGGACCAAGGAGUCUAACAUCUAUGCGAGUGUUUGGGUGUUAAGCCCAAACGCGUAAUGAAAGUGAACGGAGGUGGGAACCCUUUGGGUGCACCAUCGACCGAUCCUGAUGUCUUCGGAUGGAUUUGAGUAAGAGCAUGGCUGUUGGGACCCGAAAGAUGGUGAACUAUGCUUGAAUAGGGUGAAGCCAGAGGAAACUCUGGUGGAGGCUCGCAGCGGUUCUGACGUGCAAAUCGAUCGUCAAAUUUGGGCAUAGGGGCGAAAGACUAAUCGAACUAUCUAGUAGCUGGUUCCUGCCGAAGU
rnacentral:rRNA from 1 species